GCCGAGGUGGUGGAAUUGGUAGACACGCUAUCUUGAGGGGGUAGUGCCUGGUUAGGCGUGCGGGUUCAAGUCCCGCUCUCGGCACCA
rnacentral:tRNA from 1 species